rnacentral:rRNA from 1 species
GAUGAACGCUGACAGAAUGCUUAACACAUGCAAGUCGAUGGGGAAGUGGUGCUUGCACCCUGGCAACCAUGGCGGACGGGUGAGUAACGCGUAAGGGACUUACCUGCAGGACUGGGAUAACAGGGGGAAACUCCUGACAAGACCGGAUAAUGUCAUGGAGCUGCAUGGCUUUAUGAUGAAAGGAGACGCCUGCGGAGAGCCUUGCGUCCUAUUAGCUAGUUGGUGAGGUAAUGGCUCACCAAGGCGAAGAUAGGUAGCCGGCCUGAGAGGGUGGACGGCCACGAGGGGACUGAGAUACGGCCCUUGCUCCUACGGGAGGCAGCGGUAGGGAAUAUUGGACAAUGGGGGCAACCCUGAUCCAGCAAUUCUGUGUGCACGAAGAAGGUUUUCGGAUUGUAAAGUGCUUUCAGCAGGGAAGAAGUAAGUGACGGUACCUGCAGAAGAAGCGACGGCUAAAUACGUG